UGCACAAACUGGUGAGCAAUCUCAGGCCUGU
rnacentral:piRNA from 1 species